GAUGAACGCUGGCGGCGUGCCUAAUACAUGCAAGUCGAGCGAACAGACGAGGAGCUUGCUCCUCUGACGUUAGCGGCGGACGGGUGAGUAACACGUGGAUAACCUACCUAUAAGACUGGGAUAACUUCGGGAAACCGGAGCUAAUACCGGAUAAUAUAUUGAACCGCAUGGUUCAAUAGUGAAAGACGGUUUUGCUGUCACUUAUAGAUGGAUCCGCGCCGCAUUAGCUAGUUGGUAAGGUAACGGCUUACCAAGGCAACGAUGCGUAGCCGACCUGAGAGGGUGAUCGGCCACACUGGAACUGAGACACGGUCCAGACUCCUUCGGGAGGCAGCAGUAGGGAAUCUGCCGCAAUGGGCGAAAGCCUGACGGAGCAACGCCGCGUGAGUGAUGAAGGUCUUCGGAUCGUAAAACUCUGUUAUUAGGGAAGAACAAAUGUGUAAGUAACUAUGCACGUCUUGACGGUACCUAAUCAGAAAGCCACGGCUAACUACGUG
rnacentral:rRNA from 1 species